GCAACCGUGUCCGAGUGGUCUAAGGAGCUGCACUCAAGUUGCAGUGUUUGUAAAAACGCGCGCGUUCAAAUCGCGCCGGUUGCA